AGAGAAAGACUGAUUUAAACUGUGGAGAAAGGGAAAGGAGAAAGAGAAAGGAGAAAAAUGAAUCGGAAUGGCCAUCAGGAAACUGAAGAAAAGAGACAAGGGACAGAAGAUCAGCACGGAGCUUUGCCAGUGCGGAAGCAGAAGUGGUAAAGGACAGGACUUCUAGUCCCCUACCUCCUACAAGGUGAAGUGUCAGGGAGAAGUUGGUAAAAGAAGGAAGCAUAAAUAGGCAGUGAAGGGGAGAAACGAAGGCAUCAGGAGGAAGGACAGGGAACGAAUGGAGAUCUAAAGAAGACAAAUGCUGUUUGCACCAUAGAACGCUUAGUUACUCUAAAGGCAAGAUGGGGUCACUCCUGCAUACCCUACAAAUCUCUUAUGGACUGCUAACAAAGGAGCUCUUGGCAGAGAAUGAUGAUUCUGUGUGUAUGCAACACUUGGGCACUGCAGAUGUCUGUCCCUCUCUCCUUGAACAGAUUCCCAUUUGGAGAGCAGAAAGUUCAUUUACAGUGUGGGCACAAAGACUUGAAAGUGAAAAUACUGCUCAUAGCAGGGUUCAGUAUCUUCACUGCUGUCUUUUGGAUGGGUUUCAGAAAUGAGGAACAAUGGAUCCUGCAAGAUGCUCUAGGAAUCUCCACCUGCCUUUAUGAGCUCAAAUAAGUUCACACACCCAAUAGGAAGGCUUGAAGCUGGUUUCUUCUGGCACUGUCAUCUGUGAAGUCUUCCUCAUACUGACUGCUCUUUCACUAGCCAGGUCUGGGGACAGCAUAGCAGAGAUUACAACUCUUGGACCACUUGAUACAGCACACCACAAGAAAAUCCAACUUCUGUUGAAAAUUCCAGUGUGAUAUCCUACAUCAGGUUGCAACAGCCCUUUUACUGUUUUAGUCCUUGAGGACACUGGAGCUCCUGGUCUCCUGGUAGCCUACUCCCACAAAUUCUACAUUCAGACACAAUCAUCAUGGAUCUAUUUUGUAAAUUCUCCUGCAGCUCAUCGCUGUGGUCUGCUGGCAAGUUUUGUUCUCUCAGCAUUAGCACAGAGAGAUCAGCCAACUCAUUUCUGCCUUGUGCCAUUCAUUCUUACUGCUUGCCUGCUUGCUGCUCUUUUGCACCAGGAGUUGAAAGCUUUGGGGACAGGCAGUGAUUUUACAAAACAGUGCUCCUCUCCUCCCUCAGUAUCAGCUACCCGGAUGCCCAAAAAGACCCAGAUCCACAGAUGUGACUGAAAGAAGUGGAAGAACAUAUAAUCAAUCAUAUAACAAAUAAAGACCAAUUAGAUAA